CCUGUUUCUUCAAAAAUACGACCUACCCUGAAAAGUAAGUCUUAGUUUGAUUUUUAUAUGUGCACCCAAUAUAAGCCCUACCCCCAAAAUAAGCCCUAAUUAAAACCCCACACACUCCAGGGUGCACGGGUAAAAACUAACAUGGGGUGGGGAUGAGG